rnacentral:rRNA from 1 species
UAGGGAAUCUUCGGCAAUGGGGGCAACCCUGACCGAGCAACGCCGCGUGAGUGAAGAAGGUUUUCGGAUCGUAAAGCUCUGCUGUAAGUCAAGAACGGGUGUGAGAGUGGAAAGUUCACACUGUGACGGUAGCUUACCAGAAAGGGACGGCUAACUACGUGCCAGCAGCCGCGGUAAUACGUAGGUCCCGAGCGUUGUCCGGAUUUAUUGGGCGUAAAGCGAGCGCAGGCGGUUUGAUAAGUCUGAAGUUAAAGGCUGUGGCUCAACCAUAGUUCGCUUUGGAAACUGUCAAACUUGAGUGCAGAAGGGGAGAGUGGAAUUCCAUGUGUAGCGGUGAAAUGCGUAGAUAUAUGGAGGAACACCGGUGGCGAAAGCGGCUCUCUGGUCUGUAACUGACGCUGAGGCUCGAAAGCGUGGGGAGCGAACAGGAUUAGAUACCCUGGUAGUCCACGCCGUAAACGAUGAGUGCUAGGUGUUGGAUCCUUUCCGGGAUUCAGUGCCGCAGCUAACGCAUUAAGCACUCCGCCUGGGGAGUACGACCGCAAGGUUGAAAC